rnacentral:rRNA from 1 species
UACGGAGGGUGCGAGCGUUGUCCGGAAUCACUGGGCGUAAAGGGCGCGUAGGCGGCAUGCCAAGCGUGUGGUGAAAGCCCGGGGCUCAACCCCGGGUCGGCCGUGCGGACUGGCGUGCUCGAGCACUGUAGGGGCGGGUGGAAUUCCGGGUGUAGCGGUGGAAUGCGUAGAGAGUCCGGAAGAACACCGGUGGCGAAGGCGGCCUGCUGGGCAGUUGCUGACACUGAGGCGCGACAGCGUGGGGAGCAAACAGG